rnacentral:rRNA from 1 species
UAGGGAAUCUUCCGCAAUGGACGCAAGUCUGACGGAGCAACGCCGCGUGAGUGAAGAAGGAUUUCGGUUCGUAAAACUCUGUUGUUAGAGAAGAACAGCGCAUAGAGUAACUGUUAUGCGUGUGACGGUAUCUAACCAGAAAGCCACGGCUAACUACGUGCCAGCAGCCGCGGUAAUACGUAGGUGGCAAGCGUUGUCCGGAUUUAUUGGGCGUAAAGCGAGCGCAGGCGGUCAAUUAAGUCUGAUGUGAAAGCCCCCGGCUCAACCGGGGAGGGUCAUUGGAAACUGGUUGACUUGAGUGCAGAAGAGGAGAGUGGAAUUCCAUGUGUAGCGGUGAAAUGCGUAGAUAUAUGGAGGAACACCAUUGGCGAAGGCGACUCUCUGGUCUGUAACUGACGCUGAGGCUCGAAAGCGUGGGUAGCAAACAGG